rnacentral:rRNA from 1 species
CUACGGGGGGCUGCAGUAGGGAAUAUUGGACAAUGGGGGAAACCCUGAUCCAGCAAUGCCGCGUGUGUGAAGAAGGCCUGCGGGUUGUAAAGCACUUUCGGUUGGGAGGACUGCUUCUAGCACUAAUAUUGUUGGAAGUUGACGUUACCUUCAGAAGAAGCACCGGCUAACUCCGUGCCAGCAGCCGCGGUAAUACGGAGGGUGCAAGCGUUAAUCGGAAUUACUGGGCGUAAAGCGCGCGUAGGCGGCUAGAUCAGUCGGGUGUGAAAGCCCCGGGCUUAACCUGGGAACUGCAUCCGAUACUGUCUAGCUUGAGUACAGGAGAGGAGAGUGGAAUUCCACAUGUAGCGGUGAAAUGCGUAGAUAUGUGGAGGAACACCAAUGGCGAAGGCAGCUCUCUGGCCUGAUACUGACGCUGAGGUGCGAAAGCGUGGGGAUCAAACAGGAUUAGAUACCCCUGUAGUC